UGUGUUAUUCUGCAAAGAUAUCUUUCUCGC
rnacentral:piRNA from 1 species